CUGUCUCUCUCUCCUCCCUGUGCUCUCUUCUCCGCACUCUCUCCUCUUCUUCUCCUCCUGCUCUUCAUCUUCUGUCCUCUGUCCUCUGUCUCUCUCUCCUCCCUGUGCUCUCUUCUCCGCACUCUCUCAUCUUCUUCUCCUCCUGCUCUUCUUCUUCUUCAUCUUCUUCAUCAUCUUCUUCAUCUUCUGUCCUCUGUCCUCACUCCUUUCUCCACUGUCCUCUGUCCAACUGGCGGCCUCACAUGUUUACUGAACUAGCAGAGAGCAGGUGGAGAGUUUUGUCAGAAAGAACAAUCAACAACAGCAGGUGAAGAAGAACACACAACAAUGCUUACUAGCAAGACCUGAUGAACCUGAGAAAAGAUUCCUUGAAGAGGACCAACAGACAGGGUGUGAUGUGAAACAGCCUCUCCUUAAAGGUUACCAUAUGGUUAUGACUGAAUCAUCUGUGGUGUGAUUUUUACAACGGGCAGACAGAGCUACACCAAAUGCUUUCCCUCCACUGUUGCAGUAGAUAUGCAAUCUCCAUUGGUACAAUCUGCAAUAGCCCAGCUUUAUAGCAUAAAAAGUGGCAGGGCUGCCAUUUGGACUGGAAAAAAAG
rnacentral:lncRNA from 1 species